rnacentral:rRNA from 1 species
UGGGGAAUUUUGGACAAUGGGCGAAAGCCUGAUCCAGCAAUGCCGCGUGUGUGAAGAAGGCCUUCGGGUUGUAAAGCACUUUUGUCCGGAAAGAAAUCCUUGGCUCUAAUACAGUCGGGGGAUGACGGUACCGGAAGAAUAAGCACCGGCUAACUACGUGCCAGCAGCCGCGGUAAUACGUAGGGUGCAAGCGUUAAUCGGAAUUACUGGGCGUAAAGCGUGCGCAGGCGGUUUGCUAAGACCGAUGUGAAAUCCCCGGGCUCAACCUGGGAACUGCAUUGGUGACUGGCAGGCUAGAGUAUGGCAGAGGGGGGUAGAAUUCCACGUGUAGCAGUGAAAUGCGUAGAGAUGUGGAGGAAUACCGAUGGCGAAGGCAGCCCCCUGGGAUGAUACUGACGCUCAUGCACGAAAGCGUGGGGAGCAAACAGGAUUAGAUACCCUGGUAGUCCACGCCCUAAANGAUGUCAACUAGCUGUUGGGGGUUUUAUUAACCUUAGUAAGCGCAGCUAACGCGUGAAGUUGACCGCCUGGGGAGUACGGUCNCAAGAUUAAAAACUUAAAGGAAUUGACGGGGGUCAUAGCUGUUUUCCU